AUGUAUCAACAAUAUAUAAACAAUCAAGGGACGAUCUAGAGGACGAUCUUCCUGACUCAUCUCUACAGUCUUCGUUCGUAUAAGCAACCUUCCAGACGUGUUCGAACCUGUUCCUGCUUCUUCAAUUUCAGUUAUUAUUCAUCAUAUUGGCCAAUAUAAUAUUCAUCAAUUCGUUUGGAUGCCUACACAUUUAAUAGCAGUUAUCAUAUACUUCCUGCUGCUCUUCGUAUAUAGGAUGUAUCAACAAUAUGUAAACAAUCAAGGGACGGUCUAGAGGACGAUCUUCCUGACUCAUCUCUACAGUUUUCGUUCGUAUAAGCAACCUUCCAGACGUGUUCGAACCUGUUCCUGCUUCUUCAAUUUCAGUUAUUAAUUAUCAUAUUGGCCAAUAUAAUAUUCAUCAAUUCGUUUGGACGCCUACACAUUUGAUAGGAGUUAUCAUAUACUUCCUGCUG